AUGUCAUGUCCACUGAACAACCCAUUUGGACAUGAGCGUUAAUGGACAUGGGUCUUAGUGGACAUGACCUUCAUUUGUCCAAUAUCAAAAUAGACAUUAAUGGAUUGGGCUUAUGGGCAUGGACAACCCGCUUUGACAGCUCUAUACAUUGUCAUUACCUCUCUAGAAGAUAUAUAUCUUGUCUUCCAAAUUUGCUUCUCAAUUUUCAUGCCACGGUCAUUACUGUUCAUGCUUUGUUAUUGUUUAUGAUCGUUCCUCACCUACAUUUG